CUUUUUUUUUUUUUUUUUUUUUUUUUUGUUUGCUUAAAUGCACUGUAAGACUUUCAAGCGGAUAUCAAAUUGAAAGUGUUCAGCCAGAUGCAUAUGUUCUUGGCCCGAGCUACGUCUUGCGGAAUUGGGUUAACACUUCUUAAUUUUGUGUGGCAGUCAACGUUGCGAUACCAAGCUGUGGAAUAGGACACUAUUUUUAUAUAUCCUUAACAUUUGGCAGAGCUAGGAGUCCGAGUGCUCUGCUUGCGCCUUUAAUUCAAAUAAUAAUGGUUGCAAGAUGUCGAGACCGCAUUAAGCCCAGAUUUGUGGCUGCUGAUUUUGGGUAUAUGCAGCCGCAUACGAAAGCUGCACUUUAUAAAUUUCUAAUUACACAUAUGCGACAAUGCCUGGGGCUCAGGCACGGGCGCACACAUUUAAGCCAAUGCUCAGGGUCAGAGCUGUGCAUAGCUUAAGAGCUGUCUAUGGCGCACCUGUGGAACUAUCAAAUGUGUACACUGCACAAAAUUCAUUAGUAGGCAAAUGUAUUAAAUCUUUCAUUUUACUCAAAACUCAAUUUGAUCUUAACGCUAUGUGCAUAUAAAAGUGAUCUACCAAC